AUUGAACGCUGGCGGCAUGCUUUACACAUGCAAGUCGAACGGCAGCGCGGGCUUCGGCCUGGCGGCGAGUGGCGAACGGGUGAGUAAUACAUCGGAACGUGCCCAGUAGUGGGGGAUAGCUCGGCGAAAGCCGGAUUAAUACCGCAUACGACCUGAGGGUGAAAGCGGGGGAUCUUCGGACCUCGCGCUAUUGGAGCGGCCGAUGGCAGAUUAGCUAGUUGGUGGGGUAAAGGCCUACCAAGGCGACGAUCUGUAGCUGGUCUGAGAGGACGACCAGCUACACUGGGACUGAGACACGGCCCAGACUCCUACGGGAGGCAGCAGUGGGGAAUUUUGGACAAUGGGCGAAAGCCUGAUCCAGCAAUGCCGCGUGUGUGAUGAAGGCCUUCGGGUUGUAAAGCACUUUUGGCGGGAACGAAAAGGACUGUGCCAAUACCACGGUUCGAUGGCGGUACCCGCAGAAUAAGCACCGGCUAACUACGUG
rnacentral:rRNA from 1 species